rnacentral:rRNA from 1 species
UACGUAGGGUGCGAGCGUUGUCCGGAAUUAUUGGGCGUAAAGAGCUCGUAGGCGGUGUGUCGCGUCGGCCGUGAAAACCUGCAGCUUAACUGUGGGCUUGCGGUCGAUACGGGCAUCACUGGAGUUCGGGAGAGGGAUGCGGAAUUCCAGGUGUAGCGGUGAGAUGCGUAGAUAUCUGGAGGAACACCGGUGGCGAAGGCGGCAUCCUGGACCGACACUGACGCUGAGGAGCGAAAGCCAGGGGAGCAAACGGG